rnacentral:rRNA from 1 species
GAUCAUGGCUCAGGACGAACGCUGGCGGCGUGCUUAACACAUGCAAGUCGAACGAGAAUCUAUUGAAGGAGUUUUCGGACAACGGAUAUAGAGGACAGUGGCGGACGGGUGAGUAACGCGUGAGGAACCUGCCUUUCAGAGGGGGACAACAGUUGGAAACGACUGCUAAUACCGCAUGACACAUAGGUGUCGCAUGGCACUUAUGUCAAAGAUUUAUCG